UAAGACUGGGAUAACUUCGGGAAACCGGAGCUAAUACCGGAUAAUAUAUUGAACCGCAUGGUUCAAUAGUGAAAGACGGUUUUGCUGUCACUUAUAGAUGGAUCCGCGCCGCAUUAGCUAGUUGGUAAGGUAACGGCUUACCAAGGCAACGAUGCGUAGCCGACCUGAGAGGGUGAUCGGCCACACUGGAACUGAGACACGGUCCAGACUCCUACGGGAGGCAGCAGUAGGGAAUCUUCCGCAAUGGGCGAAAGCCUGACGGAGCAACGCCGCGUGAGUGAUGAAGGUCUUCGGAUCGUAAAACUCUGUUAUUAGGGAAGAACAA
rnacentral:rRNA from 1 species